ACUCAAAUGAAUUGACGGGGGCCCGCACAAGCGGUGGAGCAUGUGGUUUAAUUCGACGCAACGCGAAGAACCUUACCGGGGCUUGACAUCAGAUGAUCAUCCUAGAAAUAGGGUUUCCGGGCAACCGGACAUCUAGACAGGUGCUGCAUGGCUGUCGUCAGCUCGUGCCGUGAGGUGUUGGGUUAAGUCCCGCAACGAGCGCAACCCUCGUCGUGUGUUGGUCGGUAACGAUCUCUCACGCGAGACCGCCGGUGAGAAGCCGGAGGAAGGUGGGGAUGACGUCAAGUCAGCAUGGCCCUUACGUCCCGGGCUACACACGUGCUACAAUGCGCCGGACAACGGGUAGCGAACUCGCGAGGGUAAGCCAAUCCCUUAAACCGGCGCUCAGUUCGGAUUGAAGGCUGCAACUCGCCUUCAUGAAGUCGGAAUCGCUAGUAAACGCAGAUCAGCUACGCUGCGUUGAAUACGUUCCCGGGCCUUGUACACACCGCCCGU
rnacentral:rRNA from 1 species